AAACAAGAGACAUUGAAAACAUGUCUUUCUUGUUCGCUUUCUUGCUCGUUGGUACAGCAACAGGGGAAACAGUUGACGUAAAACACGUGUGUGAUGAAAGUCUAGUUGAUGAUUAUACCACUGAUAAUGAGAUGACAUUAAAAUUAAAGAAUAAACCCCCGCACCUACAACUGUUAUACCUACAACCCUUGCACCAUCAACUGUUACACGUACAACCCUUCCAAUAACUUCCGAUUCACAUGCCCCCUCAUCUAAAGAAUGGAACCAGAAAGAAUAGAACCGGAAAGAAUAGAACCAGAGAUAGAAGGAGCAAACAUGGAAGAACUAGAAAGACGAUAUCUAUGGAGCAGAAUUUGGGUUGUAUAGUUUGGUAUCAGAAUUAUUAGACGUAUUGCUUGUAGGACAUUGACGGCAGGAACUUAACAGUGAAGUGCUACCCUGGAUUUCGUGGAUUUUUUGAAGAGAAUAUUUCAACGGUUACACCGUCAGAAAUUACGGACUUGUACGGAAAUAUUGGUUCCCGGCCAGAUGUAUAAAUGUAAUUUCGUAUUCGUGUUAUUGCAGUUCGUAUUCGUCUAGGUGCAUUCGUGUAGAUUUUAUUUCAGUGUUAUGUAACCCACUUUGUAUUCUUAAAAGAAAGGACGUUCAAGAUCAUAAGUUAAAACUAAAUUAUUCAAAUUGAAAAGGAAAAAGUAUGCAUCAUAAGAUCUUAUCACGUAGUUUAAACAGGAAGUAGAAACAAUUGAUCCUUACAUUCUGCAGUAUCAAAAUACAAAUGUUUAACUGUCAAUUAAAAAGUAGCAAUUAAACUUUUUUAAAUCAAUUUAAAUUUAUAUGAUUAUAGAUAAGAAUUUAAUGAAUACGAAUAUAAAUAAGAUAAAAAAGAAAUUUAAAGAUAAACAGCGAAUAAAUACCCAAAUUCUGCUCCAUAGAUAUCCAUUGAGGGAAAGAAGAGAGCCAGAUAGACUAAAAUAUAAUAAUUAGUUUUUUUUUUGUCAUGUUUCAUUGUGUUUGUUAUCAUGUCUAUUAUUUAUGUUUAUUUUCAUUAGGAAAAAUCAGGGAGAUCAUUUAAAGUAAAUCAAGGAGAUUAUAUGUAGUGUUUUAUUUUGUCUUAUUCUCACUUUAAAAAAUCAGGAAGAUUAUUGUUAUUGUUGAUGUUAAUAUAUAAAAUCAUUUGUUCAAUUAUUUGUACAUUAAAUUUUUUAUUGAUUUAUAGUCAAAUUAAAGUUAUAGCAUAUAUAUUAAAAGGUAAUAAAAGAUUAAGAACACUUUUUAAUAUUAAAAUAUAUAAUACAAUGGAAACUUUUUCAAAUAUUUUUAUAAUAGAAACUUGGUUUUAAUUUUUUUCAUUUAGAUUGCAGUCACUUACUUUCUCCCAUUUUAUAAGUAAUACUUGUUUAACAUUUUAAUGAUAUACCUCAUCUUGUUUUAUUGCAUUUUUUCUUGAAGAUUUUUUCAAUGAAACCUUUAAAAAAUCCCACAUAUAAGAUGUCUUUUUAAUGUUUAAUAGUUUGUUUUUUGUUGUUAAUGAUAUAUAAAUCAUUUGCUCAAUUAUAUGUACAUUUAAAUUUUUAUUGAUUUAUGGUUUAAUAAAAGUUAUGAUUGUUUCUCAAGUUGUUAUUUUUAUUUAUAAAAUGUACAUAUUUUGAUCUUCAGUUUAUAGACAAUAUAAUGACAUUCUUGUAAGCAAUGAAAGUGUGUAUAAUACAGAACCUAAACAUGUUAUUGAUUCUUCUGUUCUAAAAUUUAUGAAGACAUCAAUAAUCCCUUUAAGAGACAACUUUCUUAUUUUUUGUGAAAUCUUGAAAUUCUUUUUAUGGUUAAAUGAAUACAAUCAAAGUUGUUAAAGGUUUUAUUGUUUAUAGUAAAAACAAGUACAACUUACCAAAGAAAUAAAUGACUCCUUAUCUCCAUAUCAUGUUAAUAACUUGUAAAGGAUAAGAUUUUACUUUCAUGAAAAUGAGCAAAAAGCGUUUAACAAAGUAAAAAUUUCUUUUUUUUUUCUUUUUUUUGAAUUUCAUUUUUAUCUCUAUGUAUUUGAACCGACUUAACAGAAAAUAUGAGCGGAUAUGAUUAAGCUUGUUUUAGUUUUGGUAUUCUUUGUUACACCAACUGAAUAAGACUGGAUAGCGAGUUUCUACAGUCCAACAAUCUUGAUAAAAAUCUCCAAUUAUAAAGAUGUUUGCUUUUAACUCAAAGAUGGACAAAAUGAUAAAACAAUGACCAUAUGAUUAGUUUGUAAAGGUGUAUAAUUUACUUGUAAAGGCGUAUACUUAACUUGUAGCGACGCUUUAUACAGUAGACCGAGAUAUUUUUUACCUGCGAGCAAAGAAAGGACAAACAACUUAUAAUGUUAUACACAAAAAUAGUCAGUGAACUCUUUAUGGAGUACAAAUAGUUUAAAAUAUGAGUCAUGUAUUUAAAUUUGAACUUAAUUAUAAAGUAUUGAAAGUACUAUUGGAAGGUGAUUUCAUAUACAUGUUUAUUUAAAUUUCAAUUAAGAUUUUAUCAUUAUGGCUAUUAAAUUUUUCUUUCAUAAAUAUUUAUUUCAAAAAGUGUCUAAUAGUGAUAAUAUGACAUUAUCAUUCACAUCAACUAAAGUAAGAUAAAAAAUUUUAUUCCCUAGAAGAUAUAUUAAUAAUGAUCUUGUAAAGUUAAGUUUAAGAAAACCUAUUAUAAGAUAAAACUUUUACACAUUU